AAUGAACGCUGGCGGCGUGCUUAACACAUGCAAGUCGAGCGAGGGCCUGGGGGGCAACUCCCAGAGUCGAGCGGCGAACGGGUGAGUAACACGUGGGUGACCUGCCCUCAGCUCUGGGAUAAGCCUGGGAAACUGGGUCUAAUACUGGAUAUGACUCCACGGUGCAUGUCGUGGGGUGGAAAGCCUUGUGCGGCUGAGGAUGGGCCCGCGGCCUAUCAGCUUGUUGGUGGGGUGAGUGGCCUACCAAGGCGACGACGGGUAGCCGGCCUGAGAGGGCGACCGGCCACACUGGGACUGAGACA
rnacentral:rRNA from 1 species